rnacentral:rRNA from 1 species
CAGUCGCCACGGGAAUACGUAGGGUGCAAGCGCUAAUCGGAAUUACUGGGCGUAAAGCGUGCGCAGGCGGUCCGUUAAGACAGAUGUGAAAUCCCCGGGCUUAACCUGGGAACUGCAUUUGUGACUGGCGGGCUAGAGUAUGGCAGAGGGGGGUAGAAUUCCACGUGUAGCAGUGAAAUGCGUAGAUAUGCGGAGGAACACCGAUGGCGAAGGCAAUCCCCUGGACCUGUACUGACGCUCAUGCACGAAAGCGUGGGGCGCAAACAGGAUUAGAUACCCCGGUAGUCCCUGUCUCUUAUAA